AUUGAACGCUGGCGGCAGGCCUAACACAUGCAAGUCGAACGAGUGGCGGACGGGUGAGUAAUUUCUGGGAAACUGCCUGAUGGAGGGGGAUAACUACUGGAAACGGUAGCUAAUACCGCAUACCAUCGGAUGUGCCCAGAUGGGAUUAGCUAGUUGGUGGGGUAAAGGCUCACCUAGGCGACGAUCCCUAGCUGGUCUGAGAGGAUGACCAGCAAAACUGGAACUGAGACACGGUCCAGACUCCUACGGGAGGCAGAAGUGGGGAAUAUUGAACAAUGGGCGAAAGCCUGAUGCAGCCAUGCCGCGUGUAUGAAGAAGGCCUUCGGGUUGUAAAGUACUUUCAGCGGAGAGGCGUUACCUGCAGAAGAAGCACCGGCUAACUCCGUGCCAGCAGCCGCGGUAAUAC
rnacentral:rRNA from 1 species